CGGCCCUCCUCCUGCUCCCUGGGCUCGGCUCCCUCCCUCGAUCCUCCGGUCGGCGGCGGUUGUUGUUCCGCGGCGGCGGCCGCACCUCGAGUCCUACCCUCCGGCCGCCCGCUCGCUAGCGGGUCCGCGCGCGCGCGCGCGCGGCCAUGGAGCUGGAAGUGCCGGAGGAGGCGGAGAGCGCCGAGGGGGGGACCGUGACCUCGGAGGCGACCUGGUCCGCGGAGAGCGGCGCGGUGGCAGGUUUGGCCCAGAAAAAGGCGGCCCUGACGGAGGCCCCGUCAGUGACUGGACAGCCGGGCCCUGGUCACGGGAGGAAGCUGGGCCAUCGGGGCGUGGACGCAUCUGGUGAAACCACUUACAAAAAGACCACGUCUUCCACCCUGAAGGGGGCCAUCCAGCUGGGCAUUGGCUACACCGUGGGCAACCUGAGCUCCAAGCCGGAGCGAGACGUGCUUAUGCAGGACUUCUACGUCGUGGAGAGCAUCUUCUUCCCCAGUGAAGGCAGCAACCUCACUCCCGCUCACCACUUCCAGGACUUCAGGUUCAAGACCUAUGCACCUGUCGCCUUCCGCUACUUCCGGGAGCUCUUCGGCAUCCGGCCAGAUGAUUACUUGUACUCACUGUGCAAUGAGCCUCUGAUCGAGCUGUCCAACCCUGGCGCCAGCGGCUCCCUCUUCUACGUCACCAGCGACGAUGAGUUCAUCAUUAAGACGGUGAUGCACAAAGAGGCAGAGUUCCUGCAGAAACUGCUGCCCGGCUACUACAUGAACCUCAACCAGAAUCCGCGGACGCUCCUGCCCAAGUUCUAUGGGUUGUACUGCGUGCAGUCCGGGGGCAAGAACAUCCGCGUGGUGGUCAUGAACAACAUCCUGCCACGCAUGGUCAAGAUGCACCUCAAGUUUGAUCUCAAGGGCUCCACAUACAAGCGGCGGGCCAGCAAGAAGGAACGGGAGAAGAGCAUCCCCACCUACAAGGACCUGGACUUCAUCCAGGACAUGCCCGAGGGACUCCUGCUGGACGCUGACACCUUUUCUGCGCUCGUCAAGACGCUGCAGCGGGACUGCCUGGUGCUGGAGAGCUUCAAGAUCAUGGACUACAGCCUGCUCCUGGGUGUGCACAACAUCGACCAGCAGGAGCGGGAGUGGCAGGCUGAGGGUGCCCAGAGCACGGCAGAUGAGAAGCGGCCGCUCGGUCAGAAGGCGCUCUACUCCACAGCCAUGGAGUCCAUCCAGGGCGGGGCCGCGUGUGGGGAGGCCAUCGAGACGGAUGACACGAUGGGUGGGAUCCCCGCCGUGAAUGGCCGAGGGGAGCGUCUGCUGCUGCACAUCGGGAUCAUCGACAUCCUGCAGUCCUACAGGUUCAUCAAGAAGCUGGAACACACCUGGAAGGCACUUGUCCACGAUGGGGACACUGUCUCCGUCCACCGGCCCAGCUUCUACGCCGAGCGCUUCUUCAAGUUCAUGAGCAACACAGUCUUUCGGAAGAACUCCUCCCUGAAGUCAUCACCAUCCAAGAAGGGCCGUGGUGCCUUGUUGGCCGUCAAACCCCUGGGGCCCACAGCUGCCUUCUCAGCCAGCCAGAUCCCCAGUGAGCGGGAGGACACGCAGUACGACCUGCGGGGCGCCCGCAGCUACCCCACGCUGGAGGACGAAGGCCGGCCUGACCUCCUGCCCUGCACACCACCUUCUUUUGAGGAGGCCACCACUGCAUCCAUCGCCACGACCCUGUCCUCCACAUCCCUGUCCAUCCCGGAGCGGUCCCCCUCAGAGACCUCAGAGCAGCCAAGGUACAGGCGGCGCACACAGUCCUCUGGACAGGAUAGCCGCCCACCGAUGAGAGGAGCUGGGUGUACUCCCCGCUCCACUAUAGUGCACAGGCCCACUCAGCCUCCGACGGCGAGAGCGACACAUAAUUUCUACGAAUCACCAACCCAUAGGAGUGGAGCAUACACUUGGCCAGCCCAGCUCGGCCCAGAGCACAGGAGAUGCCACCUGGCUGCCACUGGAUCUCACUCGCCCACACCCUCCCCUUGGCGAUGGUCGCUGAUGCUCCGGGCCCCAAAGCAAUGACCCCGGUUCCGUCAACUACCUGCGCCUGUGAUACUGUGAACCUUCCUGAGUUUCCAAUCAUGUAUUUAUUUUGGGUCCUUACUCUUUGCACAGAGACAGCAGCACACAGCUGCUUUUUUUACUAAAACAAAAAACAAAACAAAAAAAAACACAAUGGGAAAAGAAGACACUUCAUUCUAUGCACUUUUUGGUUCUUUGCUAUGCUUGCAUGUGUCUUGCUGAGAGAACAAGGCUCAUUGGCUUUGGGGACCUGUGACCCAGUGGUCCAGCCAUUCCAGGUGAAAAUCCUGCUGAGUGUCCGCAGGCACCACCCUGCUCCGCCUCUGUCUAUCUUGGAUGGGCACCUAGAAGAAGGGCCACCAGGUCCCCACUGGUUCCCAGGGCACCUCUGGAAGCCACACACCUGUGCCCAGCAGCUGCUCUCAGCUCAGGGCUGGCCAUUCCAGGGCCCCCCUGGGCGACCGCCAGGAUACGCUGCUGUGUCCGGAGGGGCUGCUGUAGCCGGCAGCUUUGCAAAGUCUCUCACUCCUCCCCCUAGACACACUUCCACCCCCUGAGAUGAAUGUCAGUGAUGGCUGCCCCCUGCCCACUCUGUGGACCCCCGCCAGCUCUGGCCCACAUGGGAACAGCUGGGAACCGGCCCGGAAUAGAAGCCACUUCUUUUGGAAGAAUUUCUCCCCAGCCCCGGCCUCCCUGGUGGAGCCUGAGACAGCUAGAUAACUCGCUGAUCUCGGAAUCUGACUUUUUGAGUCCUUUGCAAGCUGCAUAUACUGUUGCUGGUUCUUGCUAUGCAGGUCCCUCCUCAUCCCACCUCAGACAGCCUGCUGGAGGAACCUGUUGAUCUGGCUGCUGUCCACUCUUCCCUGGGGAACCAGGCUGCACCCCGAAGGCUCUCUUGCUGUCUGCGCAGGGGCAGCACCUCAGCUCUGAGCAGGGCCAUGGGAGACUCUGUGCAGCCUGGGGAAGGGGGCCCUCAGAGAAUCCGCCAGAAUAACCUGCAGGCAGCCUGAACAAGAAGCAAGACAGCAUUCUCUCCCUACUGCCCAAGGAGCAUUUGUCCAGACCCUGGGGAACACCCUCACCUGGAUUUCAGACCAGCGCUGUCUGCAGACACUCUGGCCACAAGUCACCAGUCUGUUCUGACCAGUCCCACCAAGAAGGCAGGCAGGCUGAGCAGGCAGACUUCUGGAGGACUAACAGGGACAGCUGCGUCACCCAAACACCAACGUGAGAGUCACCACCCAGGCCCCCAGAGGCUGGGCCCCAGAGACAUCCUGAGCCCCACUGGCGAUGACCAGUGGAGCUGCACAGUCCUGGGGCAGUGGGCCCUGCGUCCAGGGCAUCCUUGGUCAGUAUAGAAACGAGCAAGGGAGUUGCUGUGUGGCCCCAUCAGGCCCAGCCCCUGCUGGGCCCCUUGGGCUCUCCUGAGUGAAUCACAGAACAAGUGCAGUGGUUGGAUGCUGACUUGUAGGAGAAAUUUGCAAACCUCCUGGAUAUGACAUUUCUGUUUUCGUGUUAAGUCAGGAAGACCCCUUUGGAGACCCAUUUUGUGUUGUAUUCUUUGUCCCAGGACUGUGCUGAUGGGAGGCAUUUGUCCAUUCUUUUCUGGGCAGGGGGGCAGGAAGGCAAGACCUUAUUUAUAACUGUAGUGGACCCAUGGCCUUCCUCAGACCCCUGACCAGGAAGGCCUGGGCCAACCCAGCCGUCCCCCACCCGGCCCCCCAAAGAUGGAAAUCUGUAAAUUGCCCCCGUUUCUCUCCUGACUCAUCUCUGAUGGCCGCUGUCGCUGAGAACAUGGGCAGCGUCUGACUUGCUGUACUGUAAAAACGAAAGGCAUUUCCUGAGGCUGACAAGGUAGAACCUUCUGUGUGUCCCCUGCCAGCCGCCUCUCAAACCCCCAACCCCUUCCACCACCUGGCUUAGUGCAAUACUCCCAUCCCUGAUGGGGUCUCUUGCCAUGGUACUGUCACCACAGCCCACGGUCCCCAUCCCAACCUUGUUUUUAUGGCUGAACUGAUUUCAAAACACAACGAAACUGCAAACCUUGUGUGUCUUAAUUCUCACCGGGGCUUCCGCGUGCUCAGCCCCUGGUCUGGUAUGUGACAAUCCAGAGCGCAGCCUCCUGGGCGCCUCUGUAACCUUACAGCCACUGCUGGCCCUGAUAACACUCAUAUGCAGCCCCGGGCCCCACCCCUGCCACCCCUUCCUCUUUUUAUGUUGAAGAGAUCUCUAAUAAAUCGGGUAAUACUCAUCUA